rnacentral:lncRNA from 1 species
UUUUUACACAUUUUUUGGGUCUCUUCAUCUUCAUAGAAAAUUUUAACCAUAACCAGCCCGUCAACCACCUGAACAGUUUGUCACCAGCAGCCCUCCCCCCGCCAGUCCCUCACGACCUCACCUGUCCGUCGACCACCUCCUCCAGCAGACCACCAUGUCCCCCACGUCGUCAAACAACAAAAACCAGUCAGCCUCCUUGUCGUCAAACAGCAAAAACCAAUCGCCUCCAGCCAUCGACCAAAUGCUCACCUCCAUUCCCUAUCCACCCCGUCGUCACCACCAGACGUCCAGCUACUGCCGCCCACCAACCUCGUCGGCCAGCAGCUUCAAACGACGACCAGCUCAACCAGCCCUACUGCCCAAAAAACCUCCAGUCGAACCACCAAAAUAGUUCGUUUCACCUUGCACCAAACGACCACCCUUUAUCGCCAUGAAAUAACCACCCAAAACCAGCUGAAACGCAGUACCAAACCACCCAAAAAAUGGUCGUCGUCACGUCAUGUUUGACAACGAACAGAGGUCUUUUUAGUUGUUUGAGUUCGACGGAGGUGUUACUAUUCGAGGUGGAUUUUUAGUUUUGGUCAAGGUUCGAUUGAGUCGGAGUUUUGUUCUAAGUUCUUUGUUAGUCGUGGGUCCCUGGUUCUAUCCGUGGUUCCGGUCUAUGGUUGUCGCUGUCCAUUUUUUCGGCGAGUGCGAGCUAUUAAAACUCGACGUUUCUGUAAAUGAGAGUAUUCAUGUUACAUUUUUGUUGGCUCGGUGUGUUCUUUGCUUUCACGUCCUGUCUUGGUAAAUUUGAG